rnacentral:tRNA from 11 species
GGGGAUGUAGCUCAGUGGUAGAGUGUUCGCUUUGCACUUAGCAAGAUUGCGAAAUGCCCGGGGAUCGAAACCCCGCUUCUCCA